rnacentral:lncRNA from 1 species
ACUUACUUAAUGCAGGGUGGGUCGGAUGUCCUAUCACUGCGGUGGAUGUAUAGGUAUGUAUUCUCUGCAUUUUAAACUCGCAGCUAGCGUCCGAUGCACACUUUCACCGCACUGACUCUAAUAAGAAAACUGAAACAAGCCAUCUUUGUGAUCGCUGCUUGGGCACCAUGGGGCUGCUGGGUGUAUCACGAAGAUCUCAUCGAGGCAGCCACCAUAGCACAAGUAAAGACACACAGCAGAGGAACUCCACAGCUGCUUCAGCGUAGCAAGAAGGAUGGGAUAAGCGUGUUUCGACCAAGCGUAAGUAUUUCUAUGGGAAUUAGUGGCAAUGCACACUUUGUUAUAUAUUUUAAAAAUCUAAAUAUUCACCAUAUUUUUCAUUCACUUCGAGUGUGAAGCUUAAUCCCUUUGCUUUCCCCCCAGCCAACUCUCAGAAAAAGAAAGCUUUCCUUUCAACUACUAGUAUUUCAUUCUUUCUUUUUGUUUUAGUCUUUUUAUUUGUUUGUUUGUUUGGGGGGUUUUGGGGGUUUGUUUGUUUUUUUGUUUUUUUUUUGUCUUUUUUGAGACAGGGUCUCACUCUGCAGUUCAGGCUGGCCUUGAGCUCAUUUUGUAGCCCAGGGUGGUCUCAAACUCGCAACGAUCCUCCUGCCUUAGCCUCCGAGUGCUAGGAUUACAGGCAUGCACGCCCGGCUCUUUUAGUCUUUUUGAGACAGGGUGUCAGUAUUCAGUUCAGGCUGGCCUUGAACUCCCUUUGUAGCCCAGGCUGGCCUCUAACUGGCAACAAUCCUCCUGCCUCAGCCUCCCGAGUGCUGGGAUCACAGGCGUGCUCCACCACACCUGGCUACUAUUUAAUUCUUACACCAAAGUAAGUAUUCUUAAUCCCUCAAUAGUUUAUUACAGGAGAUAAAUGCCCUGUAGGAAUGCAUUAAAUUUUCUCAGUACAUUUAUGUUUUGAAUCCUCUAAACCUAAAAGUCAUUUCCAUAUGUUUGAGAAGAUACAGUGGUUGAACAGCUCCAUCCAUCUCAUUUGUUUUGAAAUUAAUGUUUGUGUGCCCUUGCAGUGCUGGUCCCUCCCAGUGAUCUUUGAGACUGACAGCACUUUGAAAGACUAGAAAAACAGCCAACUCAUUGCAUGAUUCAGAAACAUAAGGGUAUCUGGCCGUGGUGGCUCACCCCUAUAAUCCCAGCACUUGGGAGGCUGAGGCAGGAGGAUCAUUGCAAAUUCAAAGCCAGCCUGGGCUAAAGUGAGCUCAAGGCCAGCAUGAACUGCAUAGUGAGACCCUGUCUCAAAAAGACAAAAAAAAAAAACAAAGAAAAAGAAACACGGGGUAAUGCACUGCAUCCACCCCAUCAUGGUGUUUACACUGCUAUCUCUAAUCUAAACCAGCACUCCAAUAUUUCUUAAUCAAAAGUUUAUGAAGGGUUGAUGGGGAGUCUCAGGCUAAGGAGAAGUUUCAGUCCUUCCUAGUCACAGGCGAAAUGAGUAUCCUGGCCCCGUGCCUUCUCCCUCCUGUGGACUCUGUCUUGUGUCUGCAGAAGUCACACCUGCUAAGGAAAUGCCACCAAAAGUUGUUUGCCAAAAUAUGGAGAGGCAGUCUCUUCUGGAACAGGUCUUACCUUGUGACACAAUUUGUUCAUUUUGCAAAAUUCCAUUUUAUUGUGUUAUCACCCGCUUUAACACUAGCUCACAAGUGAGGCCGUACGGCACGAAGUGGGCCUUGUUUCAGUGCGGUUUGCUCAUGGACUUUGACACGAUGGACACCGGGCCAGAUAGGACGAUCCGUCUAGUUGCAAGCAGAGCUCCAGCAUCGUUCACCAGUAACUGCAUGGGAGGUGCUUAAUUUCUUUGACCCUUCUUUAUCAAUAAAGUUAGACAUUUAGCACGAGGAGUAACUCACACGCCUUUCAGAGCUAAUGCUUCAUUUAUAUAUUAAAGUAUUACAAAACAAAAUAAUACCCUUAAAAGCAUGAUAAAUAACUCAAAAGAAAUGUGCUCCUUUAUAACCAUGUUAAAAAUAAAUUCAUAUGAUGUUCUCAAACAGAAUCACUUUUGUAGAAUUUGAUGGAAUUAAUUCUCCAUUUUGAUGGUGAAGCUGAACAUUUAUGGAUCAUCCAGAAGAUUUGUCUCCUAAGAAUUUCAGAUGGGGUGUUAAAAAAAAUCCAGCUGAGAUUUAAUAAACAGUAGCCUCCACUGUUGCUUUAUUUUACUGAGUUUAUAGAAAUUGAAAACAUGAAGGUACGGUAAUAGGACAUGAAAUUUAUUUUUAAAUUUUUUCAUUAACAUGUUCACAAAGUGUACUGAAUGUAUUCAUUGGGGGCUGGUGUAUAUACAGGUCACACCUUGAUCUUUUUUACUUCCCCUUUCCCACCCCUUCCUCAUGUCUUCCCUUACCCCUCUAGCCCCUUCCCAUGUAACAGUUGACAACCACCUCUAAAAUUGCAGUCAUCUAAGAAAUCUACUUAGUUGCUGUGUGUCGUGCUUGCUGGUGAUAGAGUUAGCCUGAUUUAGGUCCCUUUCCUUCUGAAAGCAUUAUUUGAAAUAUUCAUCCAGACUCUGAGUAUCAUUGUUCUCACAAGUUUGUCUUCUCCAAAAUCAGAGGGACUCAGGGAAGAAAGAUGGAGUCACUCGUGUGAGUCUCAGCCCUAUCCUUGUUUUUAAAUAACUUUGUGACCCCAGGCAAACCACCCGCCUCUCUGAACGUCCAUGUCCUGAUUCGCUAACAAUGAGGCACCUGGGACAUUCGACAACAUCAGUGGUCCCUCUAUGCCCUCCAACAUUGUGGCAGAACCACCUCUGGAGGGGUGAAAUGUUUCAGAUGUUGUUCUAGACGAAAUGCUUGUGUCUUCCCAAACUCUAUGCUGAAAUCUCAACCCCUAUUGUGAUGGUAGUAGGAAGUGCGGUCUUUGGGAGGUGGCUAAGCCACAGGGUGGAGCCCUCACAAAUGGAGUUAGAGACCCCAGAGUGCUCCUUGUCCCUUGAUCAUGUGAGUAUAUACCCAAAAGGCACCAUCCACAAGGCAGGCAUGGGCCUACCACAGACAUUACAUCUGCUGGCACCUUGAUUUUACAUUGCCCAGUCUUCAGAGCUGUGAGAAAAUAAAUUUUUCUUAAGCCACCCAGCCUCCAAUGUCUUUGUUGUAGCCACCUAGAUGAACUAAUACAAAUAUGCAUCUUACUACCUGCAUCCAAAUGUAACUUUCAAAUUUCUCAGAGCUCAAACGUAUACUGGCGAAAUCUCACAAGGAUGAUGAAGCAUUUCAUGAGGGGUAUGUUUUAAAAUGUUUGCCCAUAAUUAUCAUCUCCACCCAUCUGCAAAGGAAAUGUCUUUCUUAGACCACAGGAAGUGACCAUGUGGGGCACGCGGAGAAAGUCUAGUGUGCAGAAGACCACUGGUAACACAUAAAGGUUUUAACUAAAAGAGAAAUGUAACCACUGCCUUCUGUGCAUAUUUGCUUAUCAGGAGAACAUACAUAUUCACUUAUCAGAAUAUAACAGCUAAUAACUGAAUAUAUAUAUAUAUAUAUGAAGAGGGAGAGAGAAAGAUUUAAAAAGAAGACAAAAUAUUCCGGCCUGAAUUGGAGGUUACACAUCACAUUUCACGGGCCUUAACAACAUGCAAAUUAUAAAUAAGUUUUUGAGUUUUCUUCUUGUGAAGGGAAGAUUAUUUUGCGGGGCUCUUGAUGUGCCAUAUGCUACAGAGCAGCAUCUAUGACUUCAGAGAUCACACAUUUGAGCACAACAGUGAGAGAAGAUUUAUAUUCAGAGUUUGUAGUCUUUUUAAAACCGGAGACAAAGAGAUCUCAAGUUAAGUCAACAGAACAGAUCUCACUUCUAUCCAAAAAAAUCUAUCAAACUACAUAGAAGAGACAAUUUUUAGUAAUUUACAGGUAGCUCAUAUCUCUUGAAUAGAGAGACAUGGAUCUAAAAAUGAACACUCCAAUCUGUCACUGUUGUGUUGGUUUUGAACAGCCCUGAUGGAGUCAUUUUCAAUGAGAUUUAAGAACAAUGUUGCCAAUGUCUUUUCCUGAAGACUAAUUUAUGCAUAAUUAAGAUCAACUCUUUUCAUUGGAAUCUUAAUUUAGGAAACAAAAGAGCUUUCAUAAUAUUUUUAGAGAAUGCAAAACUCUAUCUUCAUUUUCUUUCAUAUUAUAAGAAAAAGGGUCAGUCUUUAUGUUACUUAGCAAUCAUCCAUGGAACUGAAAGAUAAUUUACCUAUUGUCACAAAGAGAUAGAUCAAUUAGAAAAAAAAUCAGCAAAGAAAUAAAAGAAUUGAACCAAACUUGUGAACAAAUGGACUUAGCAGACGUUUACAGAAUGUUCCACACAACAUCAGAACACACAUUCUUCUCUGCUGCACAUGGGACAUUCUCUAAAACAGACCACAUACUAGCCCAUAAAACCAUGCUUAAUUAAAUGUAAAGGAACUGAAAUUAUCCAAUGCUUAUUAUCUGCCCAGAGUGCAAUGAAAUUGGAAAAUAAUAACAAAAGAAACUCCAAAAACUCCAUAAACACAUGGAAAUUAAGUAUUACCAUCCUGCACAACCAAUAGGUCACAGAUGCAAUUAAAGAAGAAAUUAAGCAAUAGCUACAAUCAAACAAAAAUGCAACUACAACUUAGAACCUGUGGGAUGCAAUGAAAGCAGUCCUAAGAGGGAAAUUUAUAACAGUGAAUUUUCACAUAGGGAAAACAGAAGGAGCACAAAUAAACAACCUUAUGCUGCACCUCAGACUUCUAAAGAAGAGCAAGUCAAGCCCCAAGCCCACAGAACGAGGACAUUAUAAAGAUCAGAGCAGAAAUUAAUGACCUGAGAUUAAGAAAACAAUACAAAGAGUUGAGUCAAAGAGUUUGUUCUUUGAAAGAAUAAAUAAAGUUGAUAAACCCCUAACAUUAUCAAAAAAGGAAAGAAAAAACCCAAAUUUAUGCAAUGCAGAAUGAAAAUGAUAAAAUCACUACAAGCUGGGCAUGGUGGUGCACCCCUGUAGUCUCAGCACUCAGGA